GGUUUGUUUACAAAACCGCAUACAAUAAUGCGAUGUUUGCCGAAAGGCAAACUCGGCAGAUAAACAGUGAGGCUGAAUUCCUGCCGAACUGUUUAUCAAAC
rfam:Treponema denticola ATCC 35405, complete genome.